GAAACGCGAUAGGUAUUGUGAAUUGCAGAAUUUCGUGAAUCAUCGAAUCUUUGAACGCAUAUUGCGCCUUCCGGUAUUCCGGGAGGCAUGCCUGUUUGAGCGUCAGUUUACACUCACAAGUGUUUACUUGUCAAAAAGUCAAGCAUUCUGUGGUUUUGAGUGAUGAGGAGAUGCCUUGAUUGGAACUGCUCUCAUUUGGAAUGAAUCGGCCCAAUUGUCUGGCUUUCUUUGAAUAGUGUGAUAGGUAAACCCCAACUCGCUUGAUAAGACAUGCUACUUUGACAAUAAUGCCAAUUUGUCUCUUUCUAAGAGAAAUAUUGAUCAUUUUGACCUCAAAUCAGGUAGGGAUACCCGCUGAACUUAA
rnacentral:misc_RNA from 1 species